AGUGAACGCUGGCGGCGUGCCUAACACAUGCAAGUCGUGCGCGAAAGGGAGCAAUCCUGAGUAAAGCGGCGAACGGGUGAGUAACACGUGGUUAACCUGCCUGGAUGUGGGGAUACCCCGGGGAAACUCGGGACAAUACCGCAUGAUGUCUCUCGGGCGUCGGCCCGGGAGAGCAAAGCCGGGGACCGCAAGGCCUGGCGCAUCCGGAGGGGACCGCGGCCGAUUAGCUAGUUGGCGGGGUAAUGGCCCACCAAGGCGACGAUCGGUAGCCGGGCCUGAGAGGGUGAUCGGCCACACCGGGAACUGAGACACGGUCCGGACUCCUAC
rnacentral:rRNA from 1 species